CUAGAGGGGAGGAGACUGCCGGAUUUACUGAGAACUUCACGCUAGAGCUUGAAGGUGCAGAAGCUGUCACAAGACUGGUUGCCCAACGAAAUGGUUUAUAUUAUGUUACGAAGAUCUUUUGAGAUUUCGCUGUAUUCAUUUUGCAAGAGGAAAUUCUUAAGAUGGAUAGAUACUGUUUCUGCCUCUAUAUAUGCAAGAUUAAAACAAAGAGGAGGUCAUGAGCUUCACUCCCAGAAGUAGAGGCAUUCCAAGCAUAAUACUCUACAAGGAAACAGUGUAGAUUUAUCCCGCACACUUGUAUUUAUGACCUGAGAAAUGGAAAGUUGAAAACUACUUGAGAAUCAUAACGAAGGCGAGGAGCAGCAACCUUCACAUCUUAAAAUCAUUUAUGCCUCUAGGGGACCAGCCAUUAUCCUGCAGUAGGUAUUUCAAGUUGGCAAAUCAAUGGAGAAGAUCAGGGAUGAAGAUGAAAGACCCAGCUAGCCAUGACCUUUGCCACUUCUGUUUUUUUUAAGUGUCCUUCAGUGUUGAUCAUGCAAAGAGUUGCGCUUAGGCUUAUUUUACCACCAGCCAAGAUGGAGAGAACUCAUCCUUCUUUUGAACUUAUCCUUCUUUUCUCCAAAGGCUUUUUGAAGCAGCCUCAGGUUUAGGGUUAAUAUUUUGUCUUUCUCUUGCUUAAGACUUUAUUCUUUGCCUGAAGAAUUUGUGAUAAUAUUCCUUUUUCCUUGUGUUGUAAUGACCAUCAUGUAAUGACAAUAAUGAUAUACACGACCUGGUCUUACAGCCCUAGAACUAGGAAACUGAGUGCAGGUAUGUCCUCAUAAAGCUUUUUUUUUCUGAAACAGGACUAAGCAUAACAAAUGAAUAAUUUACUUUGGGGAUUGGUGGAGAUGGUUACUUUAACACAGGGACAUAUUUUGCUUUAUAACAAACCAUGGAGUGUGAAAGCAUGUCAGUGAUUGAGAAAGACUUCUUCAUAAGGAAGUCAGCUACAGUAUUCUCUCCAUUGCUCUGCAAAGUAUAAAAGGUACAAUUUAUUUCAUAAUGAAUUGAGGCUAUCUGCUAUUUUAAUUUUUUUUUUUUUUGGGUCAACCUUGUUGCAGUUGUCUAUGUAUAACAGCAACUCAGCAGCAUUUUGAGUGAGAAACGGCAACAAACAACUAAAUUGUAAUCUGUUUUUAAAAUAGAUUACUAUACAUUAUCCUUAUUGUGACAUUCUGAAAAAGAUGUUUUAAUGAGGGUGAAGAAGAUCCCAAAAUAAGGUUUUAUUAAAAGUUCAAGAAAUACAAAAUUACUGCCUCAAAUCUGUUGUAGACAGAGAUAUAUUAGCACCUCAUGUGAAACUCCUCAAAUUUGCCUGAUUUUAAAAAGUAUCCCAACACUUCUUUGAAAACAUAAAGCCUUUCAAAAUGUUUCCUGUAAACCAUCAGAUAAUACAUACUCUAAUUGCCUCCACAUGUCUGAAGUUGUAGAUUGGAGAGGUUGUAGGGAUUUAGAUUAUUAUAGUCACCAAAAUACAGUGAGUCUUCUUUUGACUUUUGAAAGUGACCUGAAUAGAGAGGUAUCCAUGCUUUCCAACCUUUCUGCUCACAUUGUGCUUGAAGAUGGAAUUCCCUUUUCAAAGAUUAUUGUUUCCAAAAUUAAUUCCAUGGAAGAAGGAGGCAUUUUCCCACAACUAGUCCAUUCCCUCUAGACGUGCUUUCUCAGCAGUGGCCAACACCUAAUAGUGCAGUAUUUAGACAUAUUCUUGAUCCUGUGAUUUUUAGCAUAUGAUUUAACAUAACUGGUGGAACAACAAGUCUCCAAAUUGUGUUGUUCACAGUUUUAAAUUAAUCCUUAGACUAAAGCUCAAAUGAGGUUUUAACAAUCUCUUAGAUUCCAGAUUCUUAAUGGUCUGUGAAGAUCUUAAUUUAUGGGACCUCCACUACCCUGUACCUUGCUCCUCAAAAGAUGUAACCUGUUCUCUCUCUAUUUGUACCAAAGCUUUAACGGGGCUCACCACUUCUUAGUACAAAAGAAUGGAAGGAACAUGGGAGGAAGACUACCGAAGACUUGUGAGUCUCCCAUUUAGGCAUGUUUUCUGUUUGUCACUGAAAUGCUUUUUCUCUAUUCUUUGAAGGUGAGCAGAAAGGAUUUUGUCUGUAAGCCAAACUCUAUAUCCCAUAUUUCUGCACUGAAGAUAUUCCAUCUGUGUGGUAGGAGCUGAAGAAGUUAAAGUCUGAAGCGAAGAAAUAGCCAUUAAUAAUUAAGAAAUGUUAAUGAGGGUUAGAUUUACCUCAGACCUAAUCAUCUUGGAAAAUUACCUUUUAGGAACUGCUUUCAUUUUGGAGAUAACCAUGGUACCUUAUUUAUUCCCAAGUAUGAUGAACACUACCUGUCAGUCUAUGCCAUCACAGUUAUUUGCUUCAGGAGAUGCCUGAGUAACAUAUAAGUGGCCUUUCAUUGAUAUAUCCGUAUCCUAACCAUGCUUGAUCUAGUGUCAGCACAUGAGGACUGUUUAUAGACUUUGAAAUGUGCUCACACUAUUACCAAGACAGCUUAGGGCUUUUUAACUGAAGGUCCUGAUAUGUGAGUCAAUCCCUUAUUGUUGGUAAUACUGGAAGACAACAUUUGACAAAUACUGUAAAAAUAUAUCAAAGCAAAUUUGUGCCUCUUCUGGGUAUUCAAAAGGCCAUUUCCUUACAUUUCUUUCUAUUUCUUCAUGUACUUCCCAACAGAGGUCUGUGUAACUAUUUGUAUUCAUAUUUCUGUAUUUUUUUUUUUUUUUGGUUAAUCCAGGGGUUAAGUGCUUUAUUGAUUCAACUUGGUAACCUUUGGGUCUUAGUGGAAUUCCUUGAAAAAACACACAAACAACCCAAAUUCUCAUGUUUCAGCACUGUGAGUAGCAACUCUUUAGUCUUAUUGCUACAGAAGACCUCAUGAUGCAAGUAUCUCAUCACUUCUGAAGUGUAGUUACAACACUGGAGAAUGUGGAGGCAGUGUUGUCCCAUCAAAGAAUGAAGCUGCUAGAUCAUGGGUUCAUUAGAAAAUAGUCCUCACUGCUACUUCCACACCUUUGUUCCUUCACAUAUGAGACUGAAAUAGGUACUAUUUGUUUUGCUGUUUGUUUACUUCUCCAGUGUUUCUUUUGCUAGUGCUCAGUGCACAUAAUCUUUAAUGGUAGGAAGUUUGCAGAUUUGUUUUGGGGCUUGCUGUUAAUUCCCAUGAGCCAAAAGCCUUCUACUAAUGUACCACAAACUUCAUUUUCAUCUGUCAGAAGAGGUUUCAAAAUCUAGGGGCAGAAACAAUUACAUUAAUAAAGCGUAUUUACCUUUUAGACCUAAGUACUUUAUGAUCUGGGAAUAGUCGGAUUUUGUCACUGAGGCUGAAUUGUUGAGCACGGCAUUAUUACUAGUUAGGAAGUAUUAUAAAAUUGAUCUGGAAAAAGUAGUUUGCAUUAUCAGUUGCUUCUCUGUCAAACUUCUAUCUCUGUACAUCAAGAAAUGUAGCCCUUAGAAAAUAAAUAUACAAAACAAAUGUCUGUUGUACAGCAAGAUGUUCUUUAAUUUAUUCCUUUUGUUUAAAAGUGACGUCUGUUUAGCACAUUGGUUUAGAUAUGAUUUAAAGUAGUUGACAUGACAGAUUGAAAACUUAAAAUGUAGCAUGAAUAAUACACAGUAAAUUUCUGUUGGGAUGUUUUUAUUCACUAGGGAGCCCUGAAUAAGUUAGCAGCACUUGCAGCCACAACUUGUAUACAGGGGAAUAAUUUCUAUUUAUUCCAUUCUUCCAUGGAGUUAAUUGAUGGGUCCAUGUGUGUGUGUGUAUAUAUAUACAUACAUGUAUGUAUGUGUAUCUGUGCUUGUGUGUAUACAUACAUAUGUAUGUAUGUGUAUAUGCAUAUAGUCAGCUGACUGAGAGUCACACAACUACACACAAUCCACGCAGUUUAUUAACAGCAUAUCAUCUCUAAAUGGACCUCACUGCAAUUUGAGAUGUGCCCUGCUAGGAGCUAAUGAGCAAACUGCCUAAUAUUGGCAAUUAAUCAGAUAUAAAAGCAUCUAGGAUCAGGACCCAUUGCCAGGCAUAGAAAACUCAUACAGACUUCAAUGAAACAUGAUAUGUGAACAAAUUUGUCUAUCAGUCCUAUGAACAAAUUCCCACAAAAACACUUAAUUAUCUACAGUACAGAAGCAAUGCAUCCAUCUCAGAAUUGGUUGGUAGCUUUUUGGUGUUCAUGAGCCGUUUCCUGUACCUAAGAAAUUGAAGUAUUAUUGUACUUUCUUGCCAGAGUCCCUGUUUUAAUUGGUCUUGUAUA